UACGUAGGGUGCAAGCGUUAAUCGGAAUUACUGGGGGUAAAGCGCGUGUAGGCGGCGAUGUAAGUCGGGCGUGAAAUCCCACGGCUCAACCGUGGAAGUGCACCCGAAACUGCGUAGCUAGAGUCCUGGAGAGGAAGGUGGAAUGCUUGGUGUAGAGGUGAAAUUCGUAGAUAUCAAGCGGAACACCGGUGGCGAAGGCGGCCUUCUGGACAGUGACUGACGCUGAGACGCGAAAGCGUGGGGAGCAAACAGG
rnacentral:rRNA from 1 species